GGGGGGGGGGGGGGGGGGGGGGGGGGGGGGGGGGGGGGGGGGGGGGGGGGGGGGGGGGGGGGGGGGGGGGGAGAUUUUGGGGGUGAUUUUUGGGGGUUCAGGAGGCGAUUUUGGGGUGGAUUUUUGAGGGUUCAGGAGGAGAUUUUGGGGGUGGUUUUUGGGUGUUCAGGAGGCGAUUUUGGGGUGGAUUUUGGGGUCCCCCCCCUUCUCUUUUCCAGGUUUCUGCCGCAGCCCCCCGGUGAUGGUGGCCGGGGGCCGGGUGUUGGUGAUCCCGUGUUUGCAGCAGAUCCAGCGGAUCUCCCUGAACACGCUGACGCUGCCGGUGCGCAGUGAGAAGGUUUACACCCGGCACGGGGUGCCCAUCUCGGUCACCGGCAUUGCUCAGGUACCCCAGAGCCACCCAGAACCGCCCCAAAAUCACCCCAACAUCCUCCCCGAAAUCACCCAGAAAUCACCCCAAAAUCCUCCCCGAAAUCACCCCGAGGGGGGGGGGGGGGGGGGGGGGGGGGGGGGGG
rnacentral:lncRNA from 12 species